ACGCUCGACACCUACGGGAAGGCAGCAGUGGGGAAUAUUGCACAAUGGGGGAAACCCUGAUGCAGCAACGCCGCGUGAAGGAAGACGGUUUUCGGAUUGUAAACUUCUGUUCUUAGUGAAGAUAGUGACGGUAGCUAAGGAGCAAGCCACGGCUAACUACGUGCUAGCAGCCGCGGUAAUCUGAGCGGGCUGGCAAGGC
rnacentral:rRNA from 1 species